GACGUCUUCCAUCUCGAUCUGGCGAAAGGCCUCAAAGACGUCCUUCAUGUUUGGAUUCUCGUCGAACAGUCUGUGGGAAGACAAAGGUAGCCAGUGUCUGUCCAGCAUAAGCGAUCCAGCGGAAAUAGCUGACUUCCGGUCGGAUCGGAUGUAAUCACGAACACGAUGGAAAUGGGGCCGCGUUCGGACACGAGGGAGUCUUCUUCAGGUUGUAUUCCCAGCGCCAAUUGCAAGGAGAACUCUGGUGCUGCGUCAAAAUACCGGCUGGCUGCCUCAUCAGACGCUAUUGCUCAGCAUUGCUCUGAGCGCUGACAAAUAUCUGGCCGACCGUGAUUGAGGCCUGGGGGCUGGGUUCCGG